GAACAGGCUAAUUUGCGCAAGAGAGUACAAAUUGAGUGCGCGGUUUGGCACCUCGAUGUCGGCUUAGCUCAUCCACAUGAAUGCAAAAAUCAUGAUUCGACUGUUCGUCGAUUAAAGAGCUACAUGAGCUGGGUUUAAUAGCGUCGUGAGACAGUAUGGUUUCUAUCUUCUAGAGGGAAUUAAAGUAGAAUAAAGAUAGCCCCUUCGUAGCGAAAGGAGUUGGGUAUAUUGACCUAUGGUUUACCUGUUGUUUAUGCUAUAUAUUAUAUAUUAUAUAAUAUAUCGUUUACUUAUACUUAAGUAAAUUGUUCACAUAGGCAUGGCAGGAAGGCUACGUCAGUUAAAGAUAAGUGCUGAAAGCAUUUAAGCGCGAAGCUUACUUUAGGAUACUUUUAAACGUAGUAGAACACUACGAG
rnacentral:rRNA from 1 species